CUUCCAGUAGCACCUUAGAGACCAACUAAGUUUGUUAUUGGUAUGAGCUUUCGUGUUUUGCAUGCACACGAAAGCUCAUACCAAUAACAAACAUUGUUGGUCUCUAAGGUGCUACUGGAAG